UAGGGAAUAUUAGUAAUGGGCGAAAGCCUGAACUAGCAACGCCGCGUGUGCGAAGAAGGCCUUCGGGUUGUAAAGCACUUUUGAGAGGAUGAGGAAGGACGGUACUCUCAGAAUAAGUCUCGGCUAACUACGUGCCAGCAGCCGCGGUAACACGUAGGAGGCAAACGUUAUCCGGAUUUACUGGGCGUAAAGCGCGUGUAGGUGGUUUGGUAAGUAGGGCGUGAAAGCUCCUGGCUCAACUAGGAGAGGCCGUUCUAAACUGCCGAACUAGAGGAUGGUAGAGGGAGGUGGAAUUCCGGGUGUAGCGGUGGAAUGCGCAGAUAUCCGGAGGAACACCAGUGGCGAAAGCGGCCUCCUGGACCAUUCCUGACACUCAGACGCGAAAGCUAGGGUAGCAAACGG
rnacentral:rRNA from 1 species